rnacentral:rRNA from 1 species
UGGGUAACCUGCCCUCAGCUUUGGGAUAACCCUCGGAAACGGGGGCUAAUACCGGAUAUUCACUGCUUCGCGCAUGUGGGGUGGUGGAAAGUUUUUCGGCUGGGGAUGGGCUCGCGGCCUAUCAGCUUGUUGGUGGGGUGAUGGCCUACCAAGGCGACGACGGGUAGCCGGCCUGAGAGGGCGACCGGCCACACUGGGACUGAGACACGGCCCAGACUCCUACGGGAGGCA